CCUACGGGAGGCAGCAGUGAGGAAUAUUGGUCAAUGGGCGCGAGCCUGAACCAGCCAAGUCGCGUGAGGGAAGAAGGUCCUAUGGAUUGUAAACGUCUUUUGACGGGGAGCAAAAGACGGCACGCGUGGAGUUCCGAGAGUAGCAGAAGAAAAAGGAUCGGCUAAAUCCGUGCAAGCCGCCGCGGUAAUACGGAUGAUGCGAGCGUUAUCCGGAGUUAGUGGGUGUAAAGGGUGCGCAGGCGGAAGAUCAAGGCAGCGGUAAAAUUGAGAGGCUCAACCUCUUCGAGCCGUUGAAACUGGUUUUCUUGAGUGAGUGAGAAGUAUGCGGAAUGCGUGGUGUAGCGGUGAAAUGCAUAGAUAUCACGCAGAACUCCGAUUGCGAAGGCAGCAUACCGGCGCUCAACUGACGCUCAUGCACGAAAGUGUGGGUAUCGAACAGGAUUAGAUACCCUUGUAGUC
rnacentral:rRNA from 1 species